GACGAACGCUGGCGGCGUGCUUAACACAUGCAAGUCGAACGGAAAGGCCCUGCUUUUGUGGGGUGCUCGAGUGGCGAACGGGUGAGUAACACGUGAGUAACCUGCCCCUGACUUUGGGAUAACUUCAGGAAACUGGGGCUAAUACCGGAUAGGAGCUCCUGCUGCAUGGUGGGGGUUGGAAAGUUUCGGCGGUUGGGGAUGGACUCGCGGCUUAUCAGCUUGUUGGUGGGGUAGUGGCUUACCAAGGCUUUGACGGGUAGCCGGCCUGAGAGGGUGACCGGCCACAUUGGGACUGAGAUACGGCCCAGACUCCUACGGGAGGCAGCAGUGGGGAAUAUUGCACAAUGGGCGGAAGCCUGAUGCAGCAACGCCGCGUGCGGGAUGACGGCCUUCGGGGUGUAAACCGCUUUCGCCUGUGACGAAGCGUGAGUGACGGUAAUGGGUAAAGAAGCACCGGCUAACUACGUG
rnacentral:rRNA from 1 species